rnacentral:rRNA from 1 species
AGAGUUUGAUCCUGGCUCAGAUUGAACGCUGGCGGCAUGCUUUACACAUGCAAGUCGAGCGGCAGCUGCGGGGGCAACCCUGGCGGCGAGCGGCGAACGGGUGAGUAAUGCAUCGGAACGUGUCCCGUAAUGGGGGAUAACGCCGCGAAAGCGGCGCUAAUACCGCAUACGCUCUACGGAGGAAAGUGGGGGAUUCGCAAGGACCUCACGUUAGGGGAGCGGCCGAUGUCCGAUUAGCUAGUUGGUGGGGUAACGGCCCACCAAGGCGACGAUCGGUAGCUGGUCUGAGAGGAUGAUCAGCCACACUGGGACUGAGACACGGCCCAGACUCCUACGGGAGGCAGCAGUGGGGAAUUUUGGACAAUGGGGGCAACCCUGAUCCAGCCAUGCCGCGUGCGGGAAGAAGGCCUUCGGGUUGUAAACCGCUUUUAGUCGGGAAGAAAAGGCCGAGGUUAAUACCUUCGGUUUUUGACGGUACCGGCGGAAUAAGCACCGGCUAACUACCGUGCCAGCAGCCGCGGUA